UGGGGAAUCUUGGACAAUGGGGGCAACCCUGAUCCAGCCAUGCCGCGUGAGUGAUGAAGGCCUUAGGGUCGUAAAGCUCUUUCGCCUGUGAAGAUAAUGACGGUAGCAGGUAAAGAAACCCCGGCUAACUCCGUGCCAGCAGCCGCGGUAAUACGGAGGGGGUUAGCGUUGUUCGGAAUUACUGGGCGUAAAGCGCACGUAGGCGGACCAGAAAGUUGGGGGUGAAAUCCCGGGGGCUCAACCCCGGAACUGCCUCCAAAACUAUUGGUCUAGAGUUCGAGAGAGGUGAGUGGAAUUCCAAGUGUAGAGGUGAAAUUCGUAGAUAUUUGGAGGAACACCAGUGGCGAAGGCGGCUCACUGGCUCGAUACUGACGCUGAGGUGCGAAAGUGUGGGGAGCAAACAGGAUUAGAUACCCUGGUAGUCCACACCGUAAAACGAUGAAUGCCAGUCGUCGGGUAGCAUGCUAUUCGGUGACACACCUAACGGAUUAAGCAUUCCGGCCUGGGGAGUACGGUCGCAAGGUUAAAA
rnacentral:rRNA from 1 species